UACAGAGGGGGCAAGCGUUGUUCGGAAUUACUGGGCGUAAAGGGCGCGUAGGCGGCCUUCUAAGUCGAACGUGAAAUCCCUGGGCUCAACCCAGGAACUGCGUCCGAGACUGGAAGGCUUGAAUCCGGGAGAGGGAUGCGGAAUUCCAGGUGUAGCGGUGAAAUGCGUAGAUAUCUGGAGGAACACCGGUGGCGAAGGCGGCAUCCUGGACCGGCAUUGACGCUGAGGCGCGAAAGCCAGGGGAGCAAACGGG
rnacentral:rRNA from 1 species